GGGGGUGACAUGGCUUCGACGGGUAUAGUGAGAUGUUGUCCGCGUGUCGGAGAUGUCUGGAUCUUCGUUACCAAUACAGGCAAAACUAAUUUAAUUGGCGAAAAUAAUUACGCCCUCGCUGCCUAAUUUAAUUUAGGAUAAGCGCGCUGCCGAUCACCCCCCGUCUCUGGAGUGGCUGGUUAGCGUCGAUAAAGGAGACUCGGUUUUGUGACGCCUUUAAUCAGAACUUAAACUAAAAGGCUGGUGAUGUUUGUAGCCUGUCAUUCGGCAGCAGAUGUUACGAGAAACUAAAGAUUGACUACACACGUAGAAGACGGCUGGUCGUUAUGCUCGGACGGGGGUUCGAUUCCCCCCACCUCCAUUU
rnacentral:tmRNA from 1 species